GGGGGAAACCCUGAUCCAGCGAUGCCGCGUGGGUGAAGAAGGCCUGCGGGUUGUAAAGCCCUUUCGGUGGUGAAGAGGUGUGUUAGUGUGAAUAGCACUAAUGCAUGACGGUAACCACAGAAGAAGCACCGGCUAACUCUGUGCCAGCAGCCGCGGUAAGACAGAGGGUGCUAGCGUUAAUCGGAAUUACUGGGCGUAAAGGGCGUGUAGGCGGAUUAUUAAGUCGGAUGUGAAAGCCCUGGGCUUAACCUGGGAACGGCAUUUGAUACUNGAUAGUCUAGAGUGAAGCAGAGGGUAGCGGAAUUUCCGGUGCAGCGGUGAAAUGCGUAGAUAUCGGAAGGAACACCAGUGGCGAAGGCGGCUACCUGGGCUUUAACUGACGCUGAGGCGCGAAAGCGUGGGGAGCGAACAGGAUUAGAUACCCUGGUAGUCCACGCUGUAAACGAUGAANACUAGCUGUUGGUGGAUGUGAUGUCUAUCGGNAGCGAANCUAACGCGAUAAGUCUUCCGCCUGGGGAGUACGGUCGCAAGGUUGAAACUCAAAGGAAUUGACGGA
rnacentral:rRNA from 1 species